UACAGAGGUGGCAAGCGUUGUUCGGAAUUACUGGGCGUAAAGGGCGAGUAGGUGGCCAUCUAAGUCAGACGUGAAAUCCCCCGGCUUAACCUGGGAACUGCGUCUGAUACUGGACGGCUUGAGUAUGGGAGAGGAACGUAGAAUUCCAGGUGUAGCGGUGAAAUGCGUAGAUAUCUGGAGGAAUACCGGUGGCGAAGGCGGGUCUCUGGGCCGAUACUGACGCUGAGGUGCGAAAGCGUGGGGAGCAAACAGG
rnacentral:rRNA from 1 species